rnacentral:rRNA from 1 species
UACGAAGGGGGCUAGCGUUGCUCGGAAUUACUGGGCGUAAAGCGCACGUAGGCGGCUUUCUAAGUCGGGGGUGAAAUCCUGGAGCUCAACUCCAGAACUGCCUUCGAUACUGGAAAGCUCGAGUCCGGGAGAGGUGAGUGGAACUGCGAGUGUAGAGGUGAAAUUCGUAGAUAUUCGGAAGAACACCAGUGGCGAAGGCG